CGGGGCGCGCCCGGGGAUGCAGCCUGUGCUGGGCUAGCGCGGAGCUGGCGCUGGUGAGCCGGGGAGGAGGAAGUCGGAGCCGCGCUGCUUCCUGUGCCCAGGAUGAUGAUCGCAGACAAAGCUGGGUGGGGACGCCGCUCCCUGGGCUGCCGCUGAGCCCGCCACCCCGCCCGGAGAAGGCGAGCUCCAGCUGUCCCCCUGGGCGAGCCGCGAACGGAGCUAGAAGCUAUCGGUGCAAUCCGGCUCGAGAGAUCCUUGGUGUGUCUGCAGUGUGCAAACGGUCUGGUAAUAGGGACUCAGGAUCACAGGAAAGUGGCCGUUAGAUAUGCAUAACCUGCUCAGAUAACCACGGAAACCACCCCACUCUUCGCUGGAGUUGCAGCAUGUACCUUCUGCUUGUGUUCGCCAAUAAAAGCCAAUGGUGUAUUUAAUUUCCCAUAUCUGCCAACUGAGCCCCCCAUAUGUGAUGGGGAUGUCUUCACGCAAUGCACAGGAGGUGAGAAAUAUUUGUGGUCAUGUCUCUUUGUUUGAGGAGAAGUCUUUUCCCUACUCCUUUGGGGGCAGCGUAGGUGCUAUAGCACAUCCAG